rnacentral:rRNA from 1 species
UACGUAGGGGGCAAGCGUUGUCCGGAUUCAUUGGGCGUAAAGAGCUCGUAGGCGGUUCAGUAAGUCGGGUGUGAAAGCUCCGAGCUCAACUCGGAGAGGCCACCCGAUACUGCUGUGACUUGAGUCCAGUAGAGGAGCGUGGAAUUCCUGGUGUAGCGGUGAAAUGCGCAGAUAUCAGGAGGAACACCAGCAGCGAAGGCGGCGCUCUGGGCUGGAACUGACGCUGAGGAGCGAAAGCCAGGGUAGCAAACGGG